rnacentral:rRNA from 1 species
GAUGAACGCUGGCGGCGUGCUUAACACAUGCAAGUCGAACGAUGAAGGAGGAGCUUGCUCCUCUGGAUUAGUGGCGAACGGGUGAGUAACACGUGAGCAAUCUGCCCCUGACUCUGGGAUAAGCGUUGGAAACGACGUCUAAUACCGGAUACGAGCCGAGCAGGCAUCUGCAUCGGUUGGAAAGAACUUCGGUCAGGGAUGAGCUCGCGGCCUAUCAGCUAGUUGGUGAGGUAAUAGCUCACCAAGGCGACGACGGGUAGCCGGCCUGAGAGGGUGACCGGCCACACUGGGACUGAGACACGGCCCAGACUCCUACGGGAGGCAGCAGUGGGGAAUAUUGCACAAUGGGCGCAAGCCUGAUGCAGCAACGCCGCGUGAGGGACGACGGCCUUCGGGUUGUAAACCUCUUUUAGCAGGGAAGAAGCGAGAGUGACGGUACCUGCAGAAAAAGCACCGGCUAACUACGUGCCAGCAGCCGCCGUAA